GGGUGACGGCGUACCUUUUGUAUAAUGGGUCAGCGACUUAUAUUCUGUAGCAAGCUUAACCGUGUAGGGGAGGCGUAGGGAAACCGAGUCUUAAUAGGGCGUCUUAGUUGCAGGGUAUAGACCCGAAACCGAGUGAUCUAUCCAUGAGCAGGUUGAAAGUGCCGUAACAGGUGCCGGAGGACCGAACCCACUCCCGUUGAAAAGGUAGGGGAUGACUUGUGGAUAGGGGUGAAAGGCUAAUCAAACUCGGUGAUAGCUGGUUCUCCCCGAAAGCUAUUUAGGUAGCGCCUCGGACGAAUACCUUGGGGGGUAGAGCACUGUUUCGGCUAGGGGGUCAUCCCGACUUACCAAACCGAUGCAAACUCCGAAUACCCAAGAGUACUAUCCGGGAGACAGACGGCGGGUGCUAACGUCCGUCGUCAAGAGGGAAACAACCCAGACCGCCAGCUAAGGCCCCAAAUUCCUAGUUAAGUGGGAAACGAUGUGGGAAGGCACAGACAGCUAGGAUGUUGGCUUAGAAGCAGCCAUCAUUUAAAGAAAGCGUAAUAGCUCACUAGUCGAGUCGGCCUGCGCGGAAGAUGUAACGGGGCUCAAACUAGGAGCCGAAGCUGCGGAUUUAAUUGUUUCAAUUAAGUGGUAGGGGAGCGUUGUGUAAGCCUGUGAAGGUGCAUCGUAAGGUGUGCUGGAGGUAUCACAAGAGCGAAUGCUGACGUGAGUAACGACAAAACGGGUGAAAAGCCCGUUCGCCGGAAGACCAAGGGUUCCAGUCCAACGUUAAUCGGGGCUGGGUGAGUCGACCCCUAAGGCGAGGCCGAAAGGCGUAGUCGAUGGGAAAUCGGUUAAUAUUCCGAUACUUGUUUAUGAUGCGAUGGAGGGACGGAGAAGGUUAUGUCAGCCUGGCGUUGGUUGUCCAGGUGGAAGGAUGUAGUUAGGUUUAGUAGGCAAAUCCGCUAGACUAUUAAUGAGAUCUGAUAGCAAGCUAGGUUUACUAGCGAAGUGGCAGAUACCCUGCUUCCAGGAAAAGCUUCUAAGCGAUAGUCAUAAAGAAAUCGUACCCGAAACCGACACAGGUGGUCAGGUAGAGAAUACCAAGGCGCUUGAGAGAACUCUGCUGAAGGAACUAGGCAAAAUGGUACCGUAACUUCGGGAGAAGGUACGCUGCCGAUGGUGAUAAGACUUGCUCUUUGAGCUGUUGGCAGUCGCAGAUACCAGGCUGCUGCAACUGUUUAUUAAAAACACAGCACUCUGCAAACACGAAAGUGGACGUAUAGGGUGUGAUGCCUGCCCGGUGCUGGAAGGUUAAUUGAUGGGGUUAGCGUAAGCGAAGCUCUUGAUCGAAGCCCCAGUAAACGGCGGCCGUAACUAUAACGGUCCUAAGGUAGCGAAAUUCCUUGUCGGGUAAGUUCCGACCUGCACGAAUGGCAUAAUGAUGGCAGCGCUGUCUCCAGCAGAGACUCAGUGAAAUCGAAAUCGCAGUGAAGAUGCUGUGUACCCGCGGCUAGACGGAAAGACCCCGUGAACCUUUACUACAGCUUUACAUUGAACUUUGACCUAACUUGUGUAGGAUAGGUGGGAGGCUUUGAAGUAGGGACGCCAGUUCCUAUGGAGCCAACCUUGAAAUACCACCCUGGUUAUGUUGGGGUUCUAACUUAGAUAUAACAGUAUCAAGGACAAUGUAUGGUGGGUAGUUUGACUGGGGCGGUCUCCUCCUAAAGAGUAACGGAGGAGUACGAAGGUGCGCUCAGGACGGUCGGAAAUCGUCCAAAGAGUAUAAAGGCAAAAGCGCGCUUAACUGCGAGACCCACAAGUCGAGCAGGUACGAAAGUAGGUCUUAGUGAUCCGGUGGUUCUGUAUGGAAGGGCCAUCGCUCAACGGAUAAAAGGUACUCUGGGGAUAACAGGCUGAUACCGCCCAAGAGUUCAUAUCGACGGCGGUGUUUGGCACCUCGAUGUCGGCUCAUCUCAUCCUGGGGCUGAAGCAGGUCCCAAGGGUAUGGCUGUUCGCCAUUUAAAGAGGUACGCGAGCUGGGUUUAGAACGUCGUGAGACAGUUCGGUCCCUAUCUACCGUGGGCGUUGGAAAUUUGAGAGGAUCUGCUCCUAGUACGAGAGGACCAGAGUGGACGAACCUCUGGUGUUCCGGUUGUGACGCCAGUCGCAUUGCCGGGUAGCUAUGUUCGGAUCGGAUAACCGCUGAAAGCAUCUAAGCGGGAAGCCGACCUCAAGAUUAGAUUUCCCUAAAGAGCCGUUGU
rnacentral:rRNA from 1 species